UNUGACUUGAGUGCAGAAGGGGAGAGUGGAAUUCCAUGUGUAGCGGUGAAAUGCGUAGAUAUAUGGAGGAACACCAGUGGCGAAAGCGGCUCUCUGGUCUGUCACUGACGCUGAGGCUCGAAAGCGUGGGUAGCGAACAGGAUUAGAUACCCUGGUAGUCCGCGCCGUAAACGAUGAGUGCUAGGUGUUAGGCCCUUUCCGGGGCUUAGUGCCGGAGCUAACGCAAUAAGCACUCCGCCUGGGGAGUACGACCGCAAGGUUGAAACUCAAAGGAAUUGACGGGGGCCCGCACAAGCGGUGGAGCAUGUGGUUUAAUUCGAAGCAACGCGAAGAACCUUACCAGGUCUUGACAUCCCGAUGCUAUUCUUAGAGAUAGGAAGUUACUUCGGUACAUCGGAGACAGGUGGUGCAUGGUUGUCGUCAGCUCGUGUCGUGAGAUGUUGGGUUAAGUCCCGCAACGAGCGCAACCCUUAUUGUUAGUUGCCAUCAUUAAGUUGGGCACUCUAGCGAGACUGCCGGUAAUAAACCGGAGGAAGGUGGGGAUGACGUCAAAUCAUCAUGCCCCUUAUGACCUGGGCUACACACGUGCUACAAUGGUCGGUACAACGAGUUGCGAGCCGGUGACGGCAAGCUAAUCUCUGAAAGCCGAUCUCAGUUCGGAUUGGAGGCUGCAACUCGCCUCCAUGAAGUCGGAAUCGCUAGUAAUCGCGGAUCAGCACGCCGCGGUGAAUACGUUCCCGGGCCUUGUACACACCGCCCGUCACACCACGAGAGUUUGUAACACCCGAAGUCGGUGAGGUAACCUUUUAGGGGCCAGCCGCCUA
rnacentral:rRNA from 1 species